AACGGUCUAUACCUGCGGUACCUGCGGAGGGAUCAUUAUCAAUUUACAGCGGACUUCGGUCCUGUCUGCACCCUUGUCUUUUGCGUACUAUAUGUUUCCUCGGUGGGCUUGCCUGCCGAUAGGGCACUUAUAAACUCUUUUGUAAUUGCAAUCAGCGUCAGAAAACUAUAAUAGUUACAACUUUUAACAACGGAUCUCU
rnacentral:misc_RNA from 1 species